UGCUCUGUAUGGUAUCAGCACUCAGCAGUUUAUUCUUGCUGGGGUGUUCAAAGGUCAGUGCCAUAGAAAUUCAGUAUCUGGCAUUGUUGGUUUUCUUGGUUUUGUGCACAUUAAAUUUGGUAUUUCUAUUGAUAUAGUG
rnacentral:snoRNA from 1 species